rnacentral:lncRNA from 1 species
CACGCUCCCAGGGCCAGCCUGCCCAGCUCAGUGGGGUCAGGAGGCUUCGUCCUAUGAAGGCAGCCUGGGAGGGAGGCACAUUACUGCUCCUUGGGGUGAGAGAACAGAGAUCACGCUUGCUGUCGUUCUAUCAUUCCAUCACCUUUCCAAGUACCCCUGAGGCUCGGAAUUCCCUGGUGGUCCCGGAGGAGGCAGCGGCGUGCUGUGCGUCUCGGCUGAUUCUCUGGUCUCCAUCCCUCCGAGGGUGUCGCUGCACCAUAGGACAGAGGCGGACAUCCAGGUUCCCUGGCACCCGCUCUCUCCCGAGGCUCAGAGUGGGCGUUGGU